GACGAACGCUGGCGGCGUGCUUAACACAUGCAAGUCGAACGAUGAAGCUGGAGCUUGCUCUGGUGGAUUAGUGGCGAACGGGUGAGUAACACGUGAGUAACCUGCCCUGGACUCUGGGAUAACCCCGAGAAAUCGGAGCUAAUACCGGAUAGGACCUCGGAUCGCAUGAUCUGGGGUGGAAAGUUUUUCGGUCUGGGAUGGACUCGCGGCCUAUCAGCUUGUUGGUGAGGUAAUGGCUCACCAAGGCGUCGACGGGUAGCCGGCCUGAGAGGGUGACCGGCCACACGGGGACUGUGACACGGCCCAGACUACUACGGGAGGCAGCAGUGGGGAAUAUUGCACAAUGGGCGCAAGCCUGAUGCAGCAACGCCGCGUGCGGGAUGACGGCCUUCGGGUUGUAAACCGCUUUUAGUAAGGAAGAAGCCGCAAGGUGACGGUACUUGCAGAAAAAGGACCGGCUAACUACGUGCCAGCCGCCGCAGUAAAAC
rnacentral:rRNA from 1 species